rnacentral:rRNA from 1 species
UACGAAGGGGGCUAGCGUUGCUCGGAAUCACUGGGCGUAAAGGGUGCGUAGGCGGGUCUUUUAAAGUCAGGGGUGAAAUCCUGGAGCUCAACUCCAGAACUGCCUUUGAUACUGAGGAUCUUUGAGUUCGGGAGAGGUGAGUGGAACUGCGAGUGUAGAGGUGAAAUUCGUAGAUAUUCGCAAGAACACCAGUGGCGAAGGCGGACUCACUGGCCCGAGUCUGGAC